GACGAACGCUGGCGGCGUGCCUAAUACAUGCAAGUAGAACGCACAGUUUAUACCGUAGCUUGCUACACCAUAGACUGUGAGUUGCGAACGGGUGAGUAACGCGUAGGUAACCUGCCUGGUAGCGGGGGAUAACUAUUGGAAACGAUAGCUAAUACCGCAUAAUAUUAAUUAUUGCAUGAUAAUUAAUUGAAAGGUGCAAUUGCACCACUACCAGAUGGACCUGCGUUGUAUUAGCUAGUAGGUGAGGUAACGGCUCACCUAGACGACGAUACAUAGCCGACCUGAGAGGGUGAUCGGCCACACUGGGACUGAGACACGGCCCAGACUCCUACGGGAGGCAGCAGUAGGGAGUCUUCGGCAAUGGACGAAAGUCUGACCGAGCAACGCCGCGUGAGUGAAGAAGGUUUUCGGAUCGUAAAGCUCUGUUGUAAGAGAAGAACGGGUGUGAGAGUGGAAAGUUCACACUGCGACGGUAUCUUACCAGAAAGGGACGGCUAACUACGUG
rnacentral:rRNA from 1 species